AUUGAACGCUGGCGGCAGGCUUAACACAUGCAAGUCGAACGAGUGGCGGACGGGUGAGUAAUGCUUGGGAAACUGGCUUCUGGAGGGGGAUAACUACGGGAAACUGUAGCUAAUACCGCGUACCAUAGGAUGAGCCCAAGUGGGAUUAGGUAGUUGGUGAGGUAAAGGCUCACCAAGCCGACGAUCUCUAGCUGGUCUUAGAGGAUGACCAGCCACACGGGAACUGAGACACGGCCCAGACUCCUACGGUAGGCAGCAGUGUGGAAUAUUGCGCAAUGGGGGCACACUGACGCAGCCAUGCCGCGUGAAUGAAGAAGGCCUUCGGGUUGUAAAGUGCUUUCGGUAGCGAGGCGUUACCUACAGAAGAAGCACCGGCUAACUCCGUGCCAGCAGCCGCGGUAAUAC
rnacentral:rRNA from 1 species